GACAGAGGCCCCAAGCGUUAGGCGGAAUCACUGGGCUUAAAGCGUGUGUCGGCGGACGCCUAAGUGUCUUGUGAAAUCCCACGGCUCACCCGUGGAACUGCUGGGCAUACUGGGCGUCUUGGGCCAACUAGGGGCAGCCGGAACAAGCGGUGGAGCGGUGAAAUGCGUAGAUAUCGCUUGGAACGCCGAAGGUGAAAACAGGCUGCUGGGGUUGCGCCGACGCUGAGACACGAAAGCCAGGGGAGCAAACGGG
rnacentral:rRNA from 1 species